CCUAAAGGCGCAAUGAAAGUAAAGAUUAUCCUUGUGAUAAUUGAGGGAGGAUGAGUUGUAUUACGAUACUACUCCGCACUCCCGGGGCGUCUCGUUCUUAUUACAAGAAGAGGCGCACCCAGAGCGUACACGUUGGGACCCGAAAGAUGGUGAACUAUGCCUGGUCAGGAUGAAGUCAGGGGAAACCCUGAUGGAGGUCCGUAGCGAUUCUGACGUGCAAAUCGAUCGUCGGAACUGGGUAUAGGGGCGAAAGACUAAUCGAACCAUCUAGUAGCUGGUUCCCUCCGAAGUUUCCCUCAGGAUAGCUGGCACUCGUUUGAACGAGUCUCAUCUGGUAAAGCGAAUGAUUAGAGGCCUUGGGGCCGAAACGACCUCAACCUAUUCUCAAACUUUAAAUGGGUGAGAUCUCUGGCUUGCUUGAAUAUAUGAAGCCAUGAGAUAUUAAAAUCGGAUCAGAGUGCCAAGUGG
rnacentral:rRNA from 1 species